rnacentral:misc_RNA from 1 species
GGUGACAGUACCCAUUCAUUUCCUCUUAAGCUGGAAAAGCUCUAGCAAGCUUUGUAUCGUGGGAAAAUCGUUCAAACCAGAAAAGCCAACACCCAACUGUUCUAACCGAGCUCGCCGCCAAUUAUAGUUGAUAUUCACGCCGGAAAACAAGAGAGAGAAAGUAUCUUGGAAAGUAAAGGACGCGAUUUUUCCACUCCCAAUCCGGUUAAAACCCUGACGUUGC